rnacentral:ncRNA from 1 species
GGUAGAGAAUACUAAGGCGUUCGAGAGAAUCAUGGUUAAGGAACUCGGCAAAAUGCCCCCGUAACUUCGGGAGAAGGGG